rnacentral:rRNA from 1 species
AGUGAACGCUGGCGGUAGGCCUAACACAUGCAAGUCGAACGGCAGCACAGGAGAGCUUGCUCUCUGGGUGGCGAGUGGCGGACGGGUGAGGAAUACAUCGGGAUCUACUCUGUCGUGGGGGAUGACGUAGGGAAACUUACGCUAAUACCGCAUACGACCUACGGGUGAAAGCAGGGGAUCUUCGGACCUUGCGCGAUUGAAUGAGCCGAUGUCGGAUUAGCUAGUUGGCGGGGUAAAGGCCCACCAAGGCGAAGAUCCGUAGCUGGUCUGAGAGGAUGUGCAGCCACACUGGAACUGAGACACGGUCCAGACUCCUACGGGAGGCAGGAGUGGGUAAUAUUGGACAAUGGGCGCAAGCCUGAUCCAGCCAUACCUCGUGGGUGAAGAAGGCCUUCGGGUUGUAAAGCCCUUUUGUUGGGAAAGAAAUCCAGCUGGCUAAUACCCGGUUGGGAUGACGGUACCCAAAGAAUAAGCACCGGCUAACUUCGUGCCAGCCGCCGCAGUAA